CAACUUCACAAUUUUGACAGUUGUGGACUAGAAUAUAAUUCUUCUAAAUUAAGAAGACACAAAUUAAAUAAAUCUACUAAGCUUUACAAGCAUUUUAACAUAGUUAAGCUAUAAAAUAAAUUUAUUAGAUUGUCAAUUUAAGAAAACUAACCUCAAAAAAAUUAUAACAACAAACAUUUUCGUGAUCAACAAAAUGCCUGCCCGCAGUUUUUUAUCAAAAAACGCUGUAAUUAUAAUAAUGAUCCCGGCUCUCAUAGGAGCGCAUUAUGGUUGGUACAAACUGCAGUCGGUGGACUCGCUUGUACCUGAUGAAGAUCGCCAUAAGUUACCAAAGUUCCUGCAAUCAGAAAAAUAAGUAGCAGUGGACAAUACAAGGAUCCUUGUAAAUAUGUAUUUUGUAACAUAAAGUUAUACCUAAUACCUCAGAUUGUAAGUUAGCAUAGAUAAAAUAUAAUUUUAAACAUGUUCAUCUAAAUUCAAAAUAGAAUAAAUUAUUAUAUUUAUA